CUACGGGAUGCACCAGUGAGGAAUAUUGCACAAUGGGGGGAACCCUGAUGCAGCAACGCCGCGUGGAGGAUGACGCAUUUCGGUGUGUAAACUCCUUUUAUAUGUCAAGAAAAUGACGGUAGCAUAUGAAUAAGCACCGGCUAACUCCGUGCCAGCAGCCGCGGUAAUAGCGGAGGGUGCAAGCGUUACUCGGAAUCACUGGGCGUAAAGGACGCGUAGGCGGGUUGGAAAGUCAGGUGUGAAAUCCUACAGCUUAACUGUAGAACUGCACUUGAAACUUCUAAUCUAGAGUAUGGGAGGGGGAGAUGGAAUUAGUGGUGUAGGGGUAAAAUCCGUAGAUAUCACUAGGAAUACCUAAAGCGAAGGCGAUCUCCUGGAACAUUACUGACGCUAAGGCGUGAAAGCGUGGGGAGCAAACAGGAUUAGAUACCCCUGUAGUC
rnacentral:rRNA from 1 species